GGGGAGCAAGUGCACAGUGACUCCUGUUGUUGAUUUAACAAUUGACACUCUUAUUUAUGACAUCAUUCUAAGGAAGGAGCCACUUCUGAGUUUACUAGUGUGGUGUCUGGCCAGCCUCAGAUCCUCAUGGGUGACCGUGAGACAUCACCACCUGGAGACAGGUGAUGCUCCAGGUCAUCCCGGCACCUUCCCAGCUACUGUCAUCACUUGGCCAUCCACGGGGAUCUGCCUGGCCUGGGGCUGCGAAUCUCCAGAAUUAGAACAAGGCAUUUGGACAGCGUGGAAAGGUCCCUGGGAGAGCCAAUCAGAAUUUACAGGGGCCAAUUCAAAUGGAAAAGACAUGGCCAAGUCAGGAAUUAUUGCGCUAAGAGGUUUACUGCAGUGUAGAGGAGGUGAAAAUGGUACCUGCAACAUUUCACUCCAUGAAAACACCACAACCACCAUCGAAGGAAGAGUAAAGGUGAUCCUGUCUCCUCAAGUGCUCUGCUGUUGCAUCUGUCACCCUCAUCAGAGGCCAGUCCAAUGGGGCUUCUCCAUCUUGGACUGGAUCCUUUGGAUCUCUGAGUUAAAUAAAGUUUUUUUUACAAGCACUAGUUACCUCUGCUAUUUCACUGCCAUAUUGAAAAG
rnacentral:lncRNA from 1 species